ACUUCUCAACCCCACUAAAAGUUAAGUCUUUUGGUAGUCUGGGAUUGGAUCAUGGCAAUUGUUGGUUCUUAUGAAUCAACUCUGCUGAAAAGUAACAAGCUACAGUCAAAGUACUUUUGCGGCUUGAGCUAUCGUUGUAGAACUUUUCGAUAGUAACGCGAAAGAUGUUUGUGCAUAAGCUUUUCAAUUUAAAAAGAAAACCUGUCUACUUGUUCAAUAGACAGUGCA
rnacentral:misc_RNA from 1 species